rnacentral:ncRNA from 2 species
CCGCACGCGUCGGGAGAGCGCGCUGGCAAGCGAAAAAAACGCAGGCCGCGCCGCCGAAGGGGCACACCCGCAAACUCUCAGGCAAAAGGACCGACCGCGUCGAA